UACGUAGGUCCCGAGCGUUGUCCGGAUUUAUUGGGUUUAAAGGGUGCGUAGGCGGACUGUCAAGUCAGCGGUAAAAUUAAGAGGCUCAACCUCUUCCCGCCGUUGAAACUGGUGGUCUUGAGUGGAUGAGAAGUACGCGGAAUGCGUGGUGUAGCGGUGAAAUGCAUAGAUAUCACGCAGAACUCCGAUUGCGAAGGCAGCGUACCGGCAUCCAACUGACGCUGAGGCACGAAAGCGUGGGGAUCAAACAGG
rnacentral:rRNA from 1 species